rnacentral:rRNA from 1 species
UACGUAGGGUGCGAGCGUUGUCCGGAAUUACUGGGCGUAAAGCGCGCGCAGGCGGUUUCUUAAGUCUGAUGUGAAAGCCCACGGCUCAACCGUGGAGGGUCAUUGGAAACUGGGGAACUUGAGUGCAGAAGAGAAAAGCGGAAUUCCACGUGUAGCGGUGAAAUGCGUAGAGAUGUGGAGGAACACCAGUGGCGAAGGCGGCGAUCUGGGAAGAUACUGACGCUGAGGUGCGAAAGCGUGGGGAGCAAACAGG